rnacentral:rRNA from 1 species
UACGUAGGGUGCGAGCGUUGUCCGGAAUUAUUGGGCGGUAAAGGGCUCGUAGGCGGUUUGUCGCGUCGGGGAGUGAAAACUCAGGGCUUAACCCUGAGCCUGCUUCCGAUACGGGCAGACUUAGAGUGCGGUAGGGGUGACUGGAAAUUCCUGGUGUAGCGGUGGAAUGACGCAGAUAUCAGGAGGAACACCGAUGGCGAAGGCAGGUCACUGGGCCGCAACUGA